UACGCUGAUGAAGACAGUUUGUCGGUCGGAAAGGUUGGAUAUUUGUCACGGUCGUCCUCUUCAUCUGAAGAGGAGAGGCGAGAUGGAUCGGAGGACCAAAAUGCGGCGUGAAAAAGAAGUGCAGAGUUCGCCUCGGGAUUGGGAGCCGCUGUCCAUCGCCGUUCCCAAUCCCACCCAAACUGACGUCAUUGGAUGCCAGCAUGGUAACUGCGUCAGUUUGGAAAAACCGGGAGAAGAAGAACGUAAAGGAUCACGACCAACUUGAUUCUUCCUUUGUCUCUUCUUUCCAUUUGAAACCGUCUACAACAUCUCUGACGCCCCUCAACCCCUUGUCUGGCCGAACACCAAUCGGCACUCCAUCCCCCUCACCCCCUGGAUCCCCUGCCAGAUCCCCUUCCACUCUCUCCAAGUUCUUCGGCCUCUCUUGCCUCUCCUCUCUCCACAUGUCAUCUCUCUCUUCUUCUUCUUCUUCUUCUUCUUCAGAGGAAGGAUCACAGACCUCCUCCCCUUUUAGUGCAUCUUCUGUUUCCCUGGCUGUCUCAACUCAGUUUUCCUCCUCUGCCACUCCCCCCAGUCCUGCCUGCCCUUCCUCCACAACCCACGUCUCCUCCCCUGCCCCCCAGUCCUCCUCUCCAAACCCCCUGGACCACCAUGGAGAGACCAACAAAGACAGUGAGACUGCCAGAGAUCUUAUGAGCUCUGAGGUCAAAGAGGUGGGAGCAGUUGUUCCAAAGAGAAUGAUACCCCUAUUUGCUGGCAUUGCAGAGGCCUCCAUUGACCUGAAGGCUUCCUCUGUCUCCUUGGAGAGGCCAUUGGUCAGGUCUCGGGAAGCCAUGGCUCGCCUCCCCAACCUGGUCAGCAAGAGUAGCACCCAGCUGGGGGAGCAGAGCUGCACAGACGAGGGCGAAGACAACACCAAGCUCUUCGGGUUGCCUAAUAUUGGCAACACCUGCUUCAUGAACUCUGCUCUGCAGUGCCUGCUGGGGCUGCCAGCAUUUUGCAGAGACAUCCUGAGACAGCAGAACAUCUGGAGUUCCUCCCCCUCCUCUAAACUGCUAUGCUGCUUUGCCAAGUUACAUCAGGCCAGGCUUUCUGGAGGCACUGUUAAUGCUAAGAACAAGGAAAAUAAGAAAAUCCUUCAAACAGUCAAGCGCUGUCUUUCCGUUGUCAAUGAGGACUAUGAGGAAGACUAUGAACAGGAUGCCCAUGAAUGUGUGUUGCUCCUCCUCUUUCAGCUGAAGGAGGAGGGUAUGGCAUUAAAGGGCUCACCAGAGCCAUACACCUGCCCCGUGAAGCAGUUAGAAUUCAAGCUGAAGACUUCCCGUACCUGCACCAGCUGUGGAGUUAUAGUGUAUGGUCAGGAGGAUUAUAAUCACCUGUCACUGAGCCUGAGCCAUUACCUGCCACACAGCCUGGACCUCUACUUUAAGCCAUCUGCGUUAGAGUGUGCAUGCAGGGUGUGCUCAGGCAGCACGGCAUCUGUGACUAGGCACUUCCUCACGCUGCCCCGGGUCCUAAUGCUUCAUAUCAAGCGAUUUACUGCAGGUGACUGGGAGCCAGAGAAGGUGGAUGAUCCCAUGUCCAUCCCUGCAGAAAUAACCCUCCCAGCCGUAUGUGGGAAGACAGCCCAUGUCCAGUCUGGAGCCAGGGCAAGCUCCCUGGGUAGAAACAACAUGGACAACACACCUGCAAACUCCCCGAAAGGCACCCUUGAUAGACCAGAGACACCAGCCAGACAAUAUCUACAAAUUGUCAAGUGUGAUCUCACAUCUGGGAGACAACAUGUAUACAGGCCACUACAUCAGUGAUGUUUUGGACAGCCGUGGCAGUGGGUGGCUCUGCCUGGAUGACGCACAUGUCUUGAGGACAGAUGAGGCCACUGUGCUGAAGGAGAUUGCACAGACUGCCUACAUCCUGUUCUAUGUCUGCAGUGGAGCAGGUGAAGGAGACCAGGCCCCUCACUACCAGGAGAAGGACCAGGAGAACCCAUCAUUAAACUCAGGGAGUGGCACAGCGCUCAGGGACCACCUGGAGUAGCACCUACCACACACCAAGAAACAUCAGAUUAAUCGAAUUAGGCUGCCCUACACCACCAUCAACUGCCUUAGACCACCAUCAAGCUGCCCUAGACCACCAUCAGACUGCCCUACUCCACCAUCAAGCUGCCCUAGACCACCAUCAAGCUGCCCUACACCACCAUCAAGCUGCCCUACUCCACCAUCAAGCUGCCCUAGACCCCCAUGAAGCUGCCCUACACCACCAUCAAGCUGCCCUAGACCACCAUCAAGCUGCCCUAGACCCCCAUCAAGCUGCCCUAGACCCCCAUCAAGCUGCCCUACACCACCAUCAAGCUGCCCUACACCACCAUCAAGCUGCCCUACACCACCAUCAAGCUGCCCUACACCACCAUCAAGCUGCCCUAGACAACCAUCAAGCUGCCCUAGACCACCAUCAAUUAUCCCUACACCACCAUCAAGCUGCCCUAUACCACCAUCAGACUAUCCUAGACCAUUAGGACAUCACGCUGGCCUAAACCACCUAGACACCAAGCUGCACUAGACCACCAGAACACCAGGCUGCCCUAGACCACCAGAACACCAGGCUGCCCUAGACCACCUGGACAUCAGGGUGCCCUAGACCACCAGGCUGCCCUAGACCACCAGAAGAAACAGCCUACACCACAAAGCAUGUACCCACUCUAGGCCAUCUACUGUAUGUUUACAAUUAUAUAAAUAUAAAACA